rnacentral:rRNA from 1 species
AGCUAAUAGAUACCCCGGUAGUCCUGGCAGUAAACGGUGCGCGUUUGGUGUGGGAGGAUUCGACCCCUUCUGUGCCGAAACGACUAAACGACGUUAAACGACGCCGCCUGGGGAGGUACGGUCGCAAGAUUAAAACUACAAAGAAAAUUAGACGGGGGCCCGGCACAAGCGGUGGAGUAUGUGGCUUAAUUACGAUGCAACGACGAAGAAACCUUACCUUAGCCUUGACAUGCAUCUCUAAGUCGGUGAAAGCCGGCGACUAUAGCAAUAUAGAAUUUGUCACAGGUGCUGCAUGGCUGUCGUCAGCUCGUGUCGUGAGAUGUUGGGUU